ensembl:lncRNA
ACAUUCAAACUGAUUUCAGGAAGUCAAAUGAUGGAUUUAAGGAAGAGUUGAAAUCGCUGUAAAAGAACUUAAAGGGCAAAGUUUUCCUUCUGUUAAAAAAGAGCGUUAACACAAACCAGUAGCACUUCAUAUGGUGUUUCUAAAGACACUUUUUGGUAUCACUCAAGGUAACUUUGUUUUGGUGGUGGGUAUCAGCCCUGGGCUGUGUGACAGCUCUUGGUCACUGUUUUGUCUUGGCAAUGGGCAGCUUAAUGGUCUCUUAUCUUGUGUGCUUUGGAAGCUCUGAACUCUGUUCUCAGUUCCACCAGCCUAAACUGAACCUGCUGCACGCAGGGGCUGUCUGAGCUCAGCCUGCAGCAGAGGGCAGCUCUGGCUGCCACCCUGCCCGCGUGGCGCAGGCACAGGUCAGACCACCACUGGCUGGGAAAGCUGGUGUAGCUGCUCCAGGGUGUGUGUGGAGAUGCUUCUGAGGGUGCAGGAAUCAGAUGGGAUAAAGGGGAUCAGAGGGGGCUGUUGUAGGGGUGGGCCCUGAGCCCCUGCAGGGAUCGGCACCACCAUGGAGGGACCAAAGCAGCCUUGGAAUGAGCAGGUGAAAGCCCUGGUGAGCUUUGACAGGGGUGAGAGCUGCUCCUUGGCUGAGAGAUGUAGGUUAAUACGGCUGGGACUUGCUCCUUGAUUCCCACUGGUGUUAUUUAUACCCAUCUGCUUUUCUUCUAAUACCUGCCUUCGCUUUGCUAACUUGGAUGUUUUAUAGAAUCCCAGCCUGGUUUGGAUUAGAACAGACCUUAAAGCUCCUCCAGUCCCAACCCCCUGCCACGGGCAGGGACACCUUCCACUAGAGCAGGUUGCUCCCAAGCCCCUGUGUCCAACCUGGCCUUGAACACUGCCAGGGAUGGGGCAGCCACAGCUUCUCUGGGCAACCCCAUCCAUCCCCAAAAUACCAACUGGGCAGUAGCUUACAACAGCUUUACAGCAGUGCUGGGGUGAGCUACGCUGCUGAGGCUGCUUUGUCCUCUGUGGUGGUUGCAGCGGCCGAUGCUUUGACAGCACCGUGCAGCGAGGCUCUCGGUCACGCACACGGGCUGAGACAUCGCUGCUGUUCCGUAAAGCAAUUUUUUGGUGUGUUUUAAAAACAAGUGAUAAAAAGAGACCGGGGGGGCUGGGAGGAGCCUGAGCAGCGGUUCCUUGGUCAGCACCAGCUCUUGUCUAAGCUGGCAAAGUAAUGUAAAGCAGAGCAGAGUGCGGAUAGAGCGAGUGCUCCACAACUUACCCCCCUCUGAGUGCAUCAGUGCACGGCUCAGUGUAUGGCUGGCGGUGGGGUCAGGUAAUGCUGCUUCCAUAAGGGUUCAAAUGACUCUUUCAAGCUUUAAAAGGACCCUUUCAGCCUUUAAAACGACUUUUCAUCUGUUCAGGUUUGUGCAGUAGCUUUCAUUCAGUGCUUCUGAAGUUACAUUUACACAGGAGAGGACUAAAGCGACAGGUUUAGAUCUAAAGUAAAACUGGACUUAAACAACUCUAUGCUACUCUAAGCCAAACUACCUAAAUAAAGGGAAUAAACCCAAAGCUGCUCUACAGACUAAUCCUUUUCUUUUCCAUUUUCAAUCUUUGAGGCAUAAACUUGUUGUUUAAAAAGUUCUGUUUAGUCCAAUGUAAAAAAGUUGGGGUUUGUGGCUUUUUUUGCUUCAAGAAAAACAAUAUAAAAAUAUUUUGUACAUUAUAAAUUUCUCGCAGUUCUACAAUAAUAUUACUACAUAAUUUGUAUUCUGUACUUUAAACCCCAGU